rnacentral:tRNA from 1 species
GUUAAGUUAGUUUAUAAAAAUACCAGUUUGUGGACCUGGAGAUAAGAUUGUUGGCUCUUACUUAACC